GGGUCAGUAGGUUGGUCGUGCCACCGGUACGUACUGGUCUCACUGAUUCCUCCUUCCUGAAGAACCGUAACGCCAUUAAUUUGGUGUUGCGGGGAAACAGGACUGUUACUUUGAAAAAAUUAGAGUGUUUAAAGCAAGCUAACGCUUGAAUACAUUAGCGUGGAAUAAUGAAAUAGGACGAUCGAUCCUAUUUUGUUGGUUUCUAGGAUUGACGUA
rnacentral:rRNA from 1 species